AUUAGACAUUAAUAACACGGAUGAUGCUGGAUUUGUGAAGCGAGAAUGAGAAGAUGCUUACUCUGUGUGGAGAAUGUGGGAAAGGAAGAGCGGUGGAUUAUGGGUCACAUACAAGGCGGGACUCACGUUCAUAUCCGGGUCAUUUGCUUUGUUCGUGUUUUUCGAAGCGCGACAUGGUUUCUGUGUUGAACUACAUCUCCCAUGAUUCCGUGCGCCGCGACAGGAAGCGCUCACGCACAGCAGCAGCGUUUACAAGUGGAAACGAAGAAUGAUUAAAUUCAGAUUAUCAAUCAGAAAGAGUCAAAUGUUUGAAAUGCAUUCCAUUUAGUAAACAGCGAAACGGACUCCAAAAUCAGUGAGAGACUCGUAUUGAUUUCAUUGUUGAGGAUGAUUUCAUCAGAACAUCUUCAUUAGACUGGAUAGCACAUCCUGCCAUUAUUGUGAAAUGAAUAUUUUCUUGUGUGUCCUGAAGAACUGUCUGUGUGUGUGUUUCUCCAGUCCCUCAUCAGGAACAAGAUCAUCAGUCUCUCCUUUAUUAAAGCACAUGAGUUCAGCAGACUGUUUUCUCCUCUUGCUCCUCUAUUAUGACCUGUUUUGAUCCCAAACACUGUAUUUUUAUGUGCAUUAAAGUGAUGGUUUCACAGGAAGUCAUAAUAUCAAUGUUUGUAUUGUGUUGUGUUAGUCUCAUUGAGCGGUUUAAAGAUGAACAACAGCAUAGUUAACAUAUUAAACAUUCAUCAACCAGAUGAGAUUCACUAGAAACACAUUAAGGUUCCUUUUUGUUGAACAUGAACUAAUAACUAAAUAUACCUAUAAAGGAUAGUAGUUAUAGAAACAGUUCAGCCAGAAAUUAUAAUGUUCUCAUCUUCAUGUCAUCCAAGAUCAGGAUGAGUUUGUUUCUUCAUCAGGUUUGUAGAAAUGUAGCAUUGCAUCAGUGUCUCAUCAAUGGAUGCUCUGCAGUGAAUGGGUGCCGUCAGAAUGAGAGUCUGAUAAAAACAUCACAAUAAUCCACAGCACUCCAGUCCAUCAGUGAAUAUCUGGAGAAGACAAAAGAUGAAACACAUCCAGCAUUUUUAACUAAAAUAUGAGUCUAUAAUCUAUAAUAACACUUCCUCCUGAAUCAGGAGAGAAAUCUGCACAGAUCAAGCAGCGUUUAAACAGAUCUAAACAAAUCUGUGAGAGACAACAGCAGAUGCACUUUUUCACUGGAGGAAGGUGUUCUUAUGUUAGUAAUAUGAAUAGUAUAAAACAAGCACAAACACUCGAGUUACAAAAUGUAUUUUAUUUGCACAUUUAUUUCCAGUGACAUUUAAACGUACAUCAGAUUGUGUUUACCGCUGUUUAUAGGCUGAAUUACAUGAAGAUUCAAAAGAGCACAACUGGCCUGACUCUAUAUUCCACAUACGCACACAGUGCUCAUAGACACAAACAGACGCGACCUUUGACCUUUGUGUACACAGGUUAUGCC